rnacentral:rRNA from 1 species
GACGAACGCUGGCGGCGUGCUUAACACAUGCAAGUCGAACGGAAAGGCCUCUUUCGGAGGGUACUCGAGUGGCGAACGGGUGAGUAACACGUGAGUAACCUGCCCUUGACUUUGGGAUAACUUCAGGAAACUGGGGCUAAUACCGGAUAGGAGCUCCUGCUGCAUGGUGGGGGUUGGAAAGUUUCGGCGGUUGGGGAUGGACUCGCGGCUUAUCAGCUUGUUGGUGGGGUAGUGGCUUACCAAGGCUUUGACGGGUAGCCGGCCUGAGAGGGUGACCGGCCACAUUGGGACUGAGAUACGGCCCAGACUCCUACGGGAGGCAGCAGUGGGGAAUAUUGCACAAUGGGUGGAAGCCUGAUGCAGCAACGCCGUGUGCGGGAUGACGGCCUUCGGGUUGUAAACCGCUUUCGCUCAUGACGAAGCUUUGUGUGACGGUAGUGGGUAAAGAAGCACCGGCUAACUACGUG